AGUGAACGCUGGCGGUAGGCCUAACACAUGCAAGUCGAACGGCAGCACAGUAAGAGCUUGCUCUUACGGGUGGCGAGUGGCGGACGGGUGAGGUAUACAUCGGACUCUACUUUUUCGUGGGGGAUAACGUAGGGAAACUUACGCUAAUACCGCAUACGACCUACGGGUGAAAGCAGGGGAUCUUCGGACCUUGCGCGAUUGAAUGAGCCGCUGUCGGAUUAGCUAGUUGGCGGGGUAAAGGCCCACCAAGGCGACGAUCCGUAGCUGGUCUGAGAGGAUGAUCAGCCACACUGGAACUGAGACACGGUCCAGACGCCUACGGGAGGCAGCAGUGGGGAAUAUUGGACAAUGGGCGCAAGCCUGAUCCAGCCAUACCGCGUGGGUGAAGAAGGCCUUCGGGUUGUAAAGCCCUUUUGUUGGGAAAGAAAAGCAGCAGGUUAAUACCCCGCUGUUCUGACGGUACCCAAAGAAUAAGCACCGGCUAACUUCGUG
rnacentral:rRNA from 1 species